AUCGCUUCUCGGCCUUUUGGCUCAGAUCAAGUGUAGUAUCUGUUCUUAUCAGUUUAAUAUCUGAUACGUCCCCCAUCGGGGGACUACAUAUUAAAUGGAUUUUUCGAACAGGGAGUCGGAAAUGGGGCUUGCUCCGUCCGCUCCACGCAUCGACCCGG
rnacentral:snRNA from 8 species